rnacentral:rRNA from 1 species
GUGAGGAAUAUUGUGCAAUGGAGGCAACUCUGACGCAGCCAUGCCGCGUGCAGGAAGAAGGCGCUACGCGUUGUAAACUGCUUUUAACCGGGAAGAAACCCCAGGACGUGUCCUGGGUUGACGGUACCGGAGGAAUAAGCACCGGCUAACUUCGUGCCAGCAGCCGCGGUAAUACGAAGGGUGCAAGCGUUAUCCGGAUUCAUUGGGUUUAAAGGGUGCGUAGGCGGAGCGUUAAGUCAGUGGUGAAAUCCUGCAGCUUAACUGUAGACUUGCCAUUGAUACUGGCGCUCUUGAGUGCGCUUGAAGUGGGCGGAAUGUGCCGUGUAGUGGUGAAAUGCUUAGAUAUGGCACAGAACACCAAUUGCGAAGGCAGCUCACUAAGGCGAUACUGACGCUGAGGCACGAAAGCGUGGGGAUCGAACAGGAUUAGAUACCCCUGGUAGUCC